rnacentral:tRNA from 1 species
GUGAUGUUAGCUCAGCUGGUUUAGAGCGCUAGGUUGUGAACCUAGAGGUCGCCGGUUCAAAUCCGGUACAUCACC